UACCUCUUCGGUUCCCGCCGUUCUUCUUCUUCUUCUUCCCCAGUUGCAGAGCAAAAGCAAGCAAGCGAGCAAAGCUUCACCUUCCAGCUCCAAUGGAACCGCCAUCGGCGAGUCCCGGCGAACACUCUCUGGACCCCUUAACAAGGUUCACUAGUAUUCCUCUCACGCGCCACAAGCUCGCUUCUCUAAGAUCUCUCGUCAUCAACCCUUCGACUCCAAUCUCCUUGAUUACCUCCAUCUUAGAAGCCCUAAGUCGCCAUCUGGAGCACGGUGGCGACUCCCUCCUACUGCCACACGCCCUCAAGCUACUCUCCGAGCUCGCCUCCCACCGUCCUGGCCUCUCGCACGUCAUCUUCGACUGCGUGCGCUCGCGCCUGUUCUCGUCCGAGUCGGCGCACGUAGCGGCCGAGUCUCUCGACGCCAUUGCGCUGGUAGCAGAACGAGAUGAAACCCUGUCUUCUUCCUUGAAUGGCCAAUUCGAUAGCUUCUUCGUCUCGCUCUGCUUCAAUCGUUCCGUCUCUGUGCGACAAUGGCUUCUUCGAAACGCUGAGAGGUUUGGCGUUGGGUCUCACGUGUCGAUCACUGUGUUCCUAGGGUUCACGAAGGAUCCGUAUCCUUGUGUAAGGGAAGCUGCUUUGGACGGAUUGGUCAAUCUAGGCAAGUCAAGUGUUUUUGAGGAUCGUGGCCUUGUUGAAGGAUGCUAUUAUCGUGCUGUGGAGCUCUUAGGCGAUGUGGAAGCUUGUGUAAGGUGUGCUGCCGUUCGAACGGUCUGUGACUGGGGGCAUAUUCUUGUAGCAUCUAUGCAGGGGACAGAAAAGAGAGAGCAGUCAGAUGCAACAUUUAUCCAGCUUUGUUCUAUGGUCAGAGAUAUGAGUAUGGAGGUUAGGGUUGAAGCAUUUGUUGCCCUUGGGAAGACACAAACUGUUUCUUUGAAGAAUCUGUUACAAAGCUUAUCUAAAAAGGUCCUAGGUAGUAUGAAGGAGAACAGAUCUGUGUGUCAAUCUACAGGACCAAUUGAACUGUCCGCAUCAAGUGUUGCCGGUGCUGUAGUGCAUGGCUUUGAAGAUGAAUAUUAUGAGGUCCGAAGGUCUGUAUGCCACUCCAUGAGAAGGUUAUGCAUGAUUUCUUCUGAGUUUUCUGGUGAGGCUAUAAAUUUGUUGAUGGAUAUGCUAAAUGACGAUUCAGUGAUUGUCCGCUUAAAAGCUCUGGAAACGAUGCAUCAUAUGGCAACCUGUGAUCAUUUUAGUUUGGAAGUAAUGCACAUGCAAAUGUUGCUUGGAACUCUUGUUGAUAAAAAUGAAUUUGUACGAGCUGCAGUGAGGAAAGUACUUAAAUUUGUGAAGUUGCGCGAUCUGGAGCUCCUUAAAUUAUCUGUUGACGGUCUUAUAGAGAAUCUCGAGACAUAUCCUCAGGAUGAAGUCGACAUAUUCUCGGCACUCUUCCAUGUUGGUCUACGGCAUGGGAACUUCGUAGCUUGCUUUAUCGAUGAAGUUUUUCAUGAGAUAGAGCCUUCUUCUGAUGGCAAGUUGAGCUUGGAUUGUGCCAGAGUAGCUGCUUUGCUUGUAUUAUCCAUAGCGGCCCCUAUAUUUGCUGAACAAAAUAUUGGUGAAAUUCCUCCGAGAGUUUUUUCUUAUGCAGUUACCCUUUUGGGGAGGAUCUCUCAUGCUGUUGGGGAUAUUACUAGUCAAAAUGCCCUAUUCGAAUAUUUUUCUCAGGGCAGUAGUUGCAUGGAAGAUAACAUUUCUGAAUUUGUAGAGCAGAUAUUAGCGAAUUUGGGUAAAGAUGGGGCUGCAAGUUUAGCUAGCAACCAGAUAAACGAUCUUGAUCAGUUUCCCCUGGGGGAAGCUACCUUUGAGCACAUGAAGACGUAUGCCUGGAGACUCUGGCAGCCAACAGAGGAACCAAAGUUAACUGCAGAACAGCUACAGAUUCAUGAUGAUUUAACCAGGUUCCUGAAUGGUAUCUUUACCAAGGUCAAAGCCAUCUGGCCCUUGGUAAAAGCAGGCUUUACGAAUGAAGUAUUAAAGAUUUUGAGGGUUUGUGAGGAAGAGCUGGAGACAGUAGAGACAAAAUGCACUGGUUCUCCAGCACUAGCAUUCACUUUGCAAUAUAUAAGGACUUUGAAGUUGCUUGCUAGCGCUUCGUCCUAUUUUCAUCCCACCGUUGGUCAAUGUUGUAGAGUAGUUAGUCAGCUGGACAUUUUACUGGUAAAGCUAGAGAGGACACUCAGGGAUUUGAAGUGCAGGUUCACAGGGUUGUCUAAAAAAGAUGAGUUGUACCUCAUGGAGCUUACAAGUGUUUCCUUGACAAUGAAUUUCUCAAAAUUAAUGACAGGCUGCAGCUAUAGUACCAAUUUGAAAAGGCUAGCAGCUGUAUUGUCACGGGUGGAGUGCCUUCAACAAGAACAUGGUGUUGGGCCAUCCUCGUUCUUAUCUGAACUGAAGAAGUCAAUGCCUGAUAUUCAUUCUGCUGCAGGCAGCAUGUUUUCCGUUCCGCAUUUCUUAAGGAAGAUGCUUGAUGCUUUCUCUGUUAAGCAAUUUGAGCUCUCAAGAACACUCCUGAGCUUAUCUGCAGAAAUAACUGUCCCCGAUAAUGAUUCAGAAAACCCUUUUCAUUUUAUUCAGGGUUUACCUGUUGGUAUACGACUAGAGAUUACUUUGCGCAACAUCUCUAGGGAGAAUAGACUGUGGCUAGAGAUGACGGUGGGAAAAGAAUCAAAGCAGUUUAUCUUUCUGGACCUGAAGUUGUUUGGAGGAUCCAAUGAGUUGAGGAAAGUGACCUAUUUUGCGGCCUAUUACAAAACUCCAAAAGCAGUGUCAUUCACCUUGAGAGUUGGUAUUGGAGUGGAAUGUUUCCCUGAGGAUAUUCAUGCAGGCAUGAACAGUGGGGGACCAAAACGUGAAUUGACAUAUCUUUCUCCUGUAAGUGAAGUCUACUUUUCUGCUAAAUCUCAGAAGUUAACUUGAGCAGUCGAGGUGGACAAGCUUUGUGAGACCAUUACUGUCGAAGCAUGUGCCUGAGUAAGUAUCAUCGUCAUCAUCAAGAGCAGCACUAGACGCUGCUAUCAGAUUUAGACUCUGGUGUAGGUGCCUGAGAGGAAGAAAUCGUAUCACACCUUCUUCAUCCUUGGACGAGUGCUCUUUGGGCAACCUGUUGUGCCUCUAUGGGGCUUUGUUGGGUGAGAGCUGAUCAAUUGAGCAAGAACUUUGGGUAUGCAAGGUAUUGUUAUCACUUGCCGCAAGUUGGAGUGCGUAUCAUCAGCCUCUCUUUUGAUUUUCUGGUUGGUUUGAAAGAGCAGAACAAGAGAGCUUUUGAGGAUGGAGAGUCCUCUAUUCAAUAUCUUGUUACAAAAGUGGCUUAAAGUUCUACACCUUUGGAAUUGAGGGAAUAUACUUUUGGAUGUAAAUGCUUUUUGUCUUGUGAAUGAAUCUCUUUUUGAUACGUGCUCUUUUUAUUCAUGGGAUGGCACCCCCUUAGUGCCUCACAGUGAACUUAUAAUAUCAAAGAAAAAGAGCCAGUGGGGGUCACUUUGCAGCUGUAGAGCAGCUAGAGGAACCAGAAGAUCUCAAUUUUGAUGGACUGCCAAUUUGUCGGCUACACUCAACUUGGGUAGCUUUAUGGAGUCUGGAGAAUAUGUGAUAUAUACUGGUCUUGUUGAACACACUCUUGGGGGUUGAAGCCUGAGUAGUGAGUUGUGCUAUGCCGGUAACCUAUAUGCUUAAACAAGGCUAUACAAUUGCUGGUUAUACCUUGAAGAGUGCAGUCGGGCAGACUAAAUUGAACAUAACUAUUUGAGAAAUGAAGCGGGAGUUUGUUCAUACCUAUAAAGACUUCAUGAGACCAUGGCAGAGCACUUUUGCAGGGCAUUCGUGAAAGCUGGAUAGAAAUGUGAUGCCAAUGAGAACAACUAGAGCGAGACUUUUAAUGGGUUCAUCAGGAACUCCAAUGUAUUUCUGAGAUCUCCCACCGUCUGCAAGCACAUGUCCUCCCUCCCAAAUCCACCAUAAAUCUAUCAUUAUCAACGUCAACUUGAAACUUGUCCUUAAUACAUGGUCUUGCAAUGCAAAACCUAGACAUAACUUUUGGUUCCUCUACCUUUGCCCUGAUUCUUGGACAUAAUUCAUCUCUUGUAUCUACCGUCAACUUCUUUUUCUCAUACAUUCUCUCCAUCAAUAUUGUUCUUAUCCCUCUAACAUAUCAAGGCACAUUUACGCAGACCGGAAAAAACUGUAGAAGGAAGA